GAUGAACGCUGGCGGCGUGCCUAAUACAUGCAAGUCGAGCGAACAGACGCGGAGCUUGCUCCUCUGACGUUAGCGGCGAACGGGUGAGUAACACGUGGGUAACCUGCCUAUAAGACUGGGAUAACUUCGGGAAACCGGAGCUAAUACCGCAUAAGAUUUUGAACCGCAUGGUUCAAUAGUGAAAGACGGUUUUCGUUUCUGUUAUAGAUGGAUCCGCGCCGCAUUAACUAGUUUGUAAGGUAACGGCUUACCAAGGCUGCGAUGCAUAGCCGACCUGAGAGGGUGAUCGGACACAUUGGAACUGAGACACGGUCCAGACUCCUACGGGAGGCAGCAGUAGGGAAUCUUCCGCAAUGGGCGCAAGCCUGACGGAGCAACGCCGCGUGAGUGAUGAAGGUUUUCGGAUCGUAAAACUCUGUUAUUAGGGAAGAACAAAUGCGUAAGUAACUAUGAACGUCUUGACGGUACCUAAUCAGAAAGCCACGGCUAACUACGUG
rnacentral:rRNA from 1 species